CUACGGGGUGCACCAGGCGCGAAACCUUUACACUACCGGAAACGGUGAUAAGGGGAUUCUACGUGCUCAGGGUUUUUUGCCUUGGGCUUUUGCCGAGAGUAAAUAUCUCGGCGAAUAAGUGGUGGGUAAGACUGGUGCCAGCCGCCGCGGUAACACCAGCGCCACAAGUGGGAAUCGCGAUUAUUGGGCCUAAAGCGUUCGUAGCUGGUCUGGUAAAUCUCUUGUGAAAUCGUGAGGCUUAACCUUACGGCGCGCAGGAGAGACUGCCAGACUUGAGACCGGGAGGAGUCGGAGGUAUGCAUGGGGGAGCAGUAAAAUGCUAUAAUCCCUUGUAGACCACCGGUGGCGAAGGCGUCCGACCAGAACGGCUCUGACAGUGAGGGACGAAAGCCAGGGGAGCGAUCCGGAUUAGAUACCCCAGUAGUC
rnacentral:rRNA from 1 species